CACUUUGCGGCCCCGGGUUCCU
rnacentral:rRNA from 1 species